rnacentral:rRNA from 1 species
UACGUAGGUGGCGAGCGUUGUCCGGAUUUAUUGGGCGUAAAGCGCGCGCAGGCGGUCUGUUACGUCCGUUGUGAAAGCUCCCGGCUCAACUGGGAGAGGUCUUCGGAUACGGGCGGACUCGAGGAAGGUAGAGGAAGGUGGAAUUCCCGGUGUAGUGGUGAAAUGCGUAGAGAUCGGGAGGAACAUCUGUGGCGAAGGCGACUACCUGGACCAGCACUGACACUGAGGCACGAAAGCGUGGGGAGCAAACAGG